GACGAACGCUGGCGGCGUGCUUAACACAUGCAAGUCGAACGGAAAGGCCCUGCUUUUGUGGGGUGCUCGAGUGGCGAACGGGUGAGUAACACGUGAGUAACCUGCCCUUGACUUUGGGAUAACUUCAGGGAACUGGGGCUAAUACCGGAUAGGAGCUCCUGCUGCAUGGUGGGGGUUGGAAAGUUUCGGCGGUUGGGGAUGGACUCGCGGCUUAUCAGCUUGUUGGUGGGGUAGAGGCUUACCAAGGCUUUGACGGGUAGCCGGCCUGAGAGGGUGACCGGCCACAUUGGGACUGAGAUACGGCCCAGACUCCUACGGGAGGCAGCAGUGGGGAAUAUUGCACAAUGGGCGGAAGCCUGAUGCAGCAACGCCGCGUGCGGGAUGACGGCCUUCGGGUUGUAAACCGCUUUCGCCUGUGACGAAGCGUGAGUGACGGUAAUGGGUAAAGAAGCACCGGCUAACUACGUG
rnacentral:rRNA from 1 species